rnacentral:rRNA from 1 species
UGCUAUCCGGCUGGGACUAAGCCAUGCUAGUCUAGGGGCUCCUUCGGGAGCACCGGCGGACGGCUCAGUAACACGUGGACAACCUGCCCUCGGGUGGGGGAUAACCCCGGGAAACUGGGGCUAAUCCCCCAUAGGUGAUGGGUGCUGGAAUGCCCCAUCUCCGAAAGCGCUCAGCGCCCGAGGAUGGGUCUGCGGCGGAUUAGGUAGUUGGUGGGGUAACGGCCCACCAAGCCUAAGAUCCGUACGGGCUGUGGGAGCAGGAGCCCGGAGAUGGACCCUGAGACAAGGGUCCAGGCCCUACGGGGCGCAGCAGGCGCGAAACCUCCGCAAUGCGGGAAACCGCGACGGGGUUAGCCGGAGUGCCCGUGCAUCGCACGGGCUGUCGGGGUGCCUAAACAGCACCCCAUAGCAAGGGCCGGGCAAGGCCGGUGGCAGCCGCCGCGGUAAGACCGGCGGCCCGAGUGGCGGCCACUCUUAUUGGGCCUAAAGCGUCCGUAGCCGGCUCAGUAAGUCCCCCGGGAAAUCUGGUCGCUUAACGAUCAGACUUCCGGGGGAUACUGCUGAGCUAGGGA